AUGAGCUGUGGUUUGGCAAGAAACCUAAGUUGUCAUUUCUUAAAGUUUUGGGGCUGCGAUGCUUAUGUGAAAAAGCUUCAACCUGAUAAGCUCGAACCCAAAUCGGAUAAAUGUGUCUUCAUAGGAUACCCAAAGGAGACUGUUGGGUACACCUUCUAUCACAGAUCCGAAGGCAAGAUAUUUGUUGCUAAGAAUGGAUCCUUUCUAGAGAAGGAGUUUCUCUCGAAAGAAGUGUGUGGGAGCAAAUUAGAACUUGACGAGGUAAUUGUACCUUCUCCCUUAUUGGAAAGUAGUUCAUCACUCAAAUCAGUUCUAGUGAUUCCUACACCAGUAAGUGAGGAAGCUAAUGAUGAUGAUUGUGAAACUUCUAAUCAAGUUACUACCGAACCUCAUAGGUCAACCAGAGUAAGAUCCGCACCAGAGUGGUAC
rnacentral:rRNA from 1 species